UACGUAGGUGGCUAGCGUUGUCCGGAUUUACUGGGCGUAAAGAGCGCGCAGGCGGUCGUUCAAGUCGAGUGUGAAAGCCCCCGGCUCAACUGGGGAGGGUCACUCGAUACUGAUCGACUUGAAGGCGGGAGAGGGAAGCGGAAUUCCCGGUGUAGUGGUGAAAUGCGUAGAUAUCGGGAGGAACACCUGUGGUGUAGACAGCUUACUGGACCAUUUCUGACGCUGAGACACGAAAGCGUGGGUAGCAAACAGG
rnacentral:rRNA from 1 species